AUUGAACGCUGGCGGAAUGCUUUACACAUGCAGGUCGAACGGUAGAGGGGGCAACCCCUCGAGAGUGGCGAACGGGUGAGUAAUAUAUCGGAACGUGCCCAGUCGUGGGGGAUAACGUAGCGAAAGUUACGCUAAUACCGCAUACGACCUAAGAAUGACAGCGGGGGACCGUAAGGCCUCGCGCGAUUGGAACGGCCGAUAUCAGAGUAGGGAGUUGGUGAGGUAAAGGCUCAACAAGCCAACGAUCUGUAGCUGGUCUGAGAGGACGACCAGCCACACUGGAACUGAGACACGGUCCAGACUCCUACGGGAGGCAGCAGUGGGGAAUUUUGGACAAUGACGCAAGUCUGAGCCAGCCAUUCCGCGUGCAGGAUGAAGGCCCUCGGGUUGUAAACUGCUUUUGUACGGAGCGAAAAGGUCUCUCCUAAUACGAGGGGCUCAUGACGGUACCGUAAGAAUAAGCACCGGCUAACUACGUGCCAGCAGCCGCGGUAA
rnacentral:rRNA from 1 species